rnacentral:rRNA from 1 species
UACGAAGGGGCUAGCGUUGCUCGGAAUCACUGGGCGUAAAGGGUGCGUAGGCGGGUCUUUUAAGUCAGGGGUGAAAUCCUGGAGCUCAACUCCAGAACUGCCUUUGAUACUGAGGAUCUUGAGUUCGGGAGAGGUGAGUGGAACUGCGAGUGUAGAGGUGAAAUUCGUAGAUAUUCGCAAGAACACCAGUGGCGAAGGCGGCUCACUGGCCCGAUACUGACGCUGAGGCACGAAAGCGUGGGGAGCAACAGG